GGACCCGCACAAGUAGUGGAGCAUGUGGUUUAAUUCGAUGAUACGCGAGGAACCUUACCUGGGCUCGAAUGGAUUUGGACCGUUCCUGAAAGGGAACUUCUCUUCGGAGCUGAAUUCAAGGUGCUGCAUGGUUGUCGUCAGCUCGUGCCGUGAGGUGUUGGGUUAAGUCCCGCAACGAGCGCAACCCCUAUUCUUAGUUACCAGCACGUAAUGGUGGGGACUCUAGGAAGACUGCCGGCGUAAGCCGCGAGGAAGGUGGGGAUGACGUCAAAUCAUCAUGGCUUUAUGCCCAGGGCUACACACGUGCUACAAUGGAGGGUACAGAGGGUAGCGAAGCCGCGAGGUGGAG
rnacentral:rRNA from 1 species